GGGGGGUCCGCGGGUCUUCUUCAGAAUUUUGGUCAGCCGCAAGAAAAAGGAAAAAAAAUCCUUACCUAGAGAAUCAGCAGACCCUCAAGCAAAAUAAGAGUAGCCGCCACACUCAACAAACUCCAACAGCAGUCGUCCCCACCUUUUGGCUAAGCCCUCGUCUUCUCCCUCUAUUCAUUUUCCCUUUUGGAUUCUUUUGCAGAUUCCUUAAUCCACCUGACAUAUAGUAGUCCCAAGAAUUGUUUGUAGAAUUUUUCCUUCUUUACCCAUUUGUUUUAGAGUCGAGUAUUCUGGAUUUCACAUUCUAGUUGCCUGGGUUUCUUUCGACUUUUUUUCUCCUGGGCUUAUAACACAGAAAUGCAAGCCACAUCUCUGAAACGACAAAUAUGCAGCGUUUUUGAGUGGAAAGAACAGUCGAAGUUUUUGAUCGAUUUUCCGAUGAGGUUCGUUGAGGUUUCCGGCGAGGUGGACGCCGCCUAUUCCAGCUCAUUUCCGGCUUUUAUUUGGUACUUCUAAUUGUUUCCUUGCUUUAAAUAGUUGGUGUUCGAGUUCUGAAAAUCCGUUCGAGGUCGGAGAUCUCCGGCGAGGUUUCCGGACGGAUUUGGGUUCCGUCGAGAAUUGCUUUCCAAAAUUUCUGGUGUUAAUCAUUUUCAAAACCAAAUUUUUUUGUAUCGAGGUCAAUUUAUUUCUCUAAUCUUAAAUUUCCUCUUUGUUUCCUAGUCAUUAAGUUUUGAUGAUUAUGAAUACCGUGUAGUUGUUACGCUUGUUUCGUUGCUUGUUUGAGACUCUCUUAAUUUGGUUCCUAUAUGUUGGAGUUUUCAUCGAUGCAGUCUUUGGGAACAAACAUGAAUUAGCCAAUUAUUUUAUUUUAUUAGAAGUGUGAAUGCAUAUGAUCCAUUUAGUUAAUUGUUAUUUUGGAUUAAAACUUGUCGAAAUGAUGUUGCUUAUAUGGUUUUGCAAGAUUCUUUGUGAUAUCCUUUGAUAUUCCAAUGAAAUUUGUUUGAGUCUUGUUGCCAGAUUUGUAGAUGCAAUUAAAGUGAUAAUGAGAUUUUUGCUUAUGAGUUUUGAAGUAGGCUAGUUAGAUAUUUACCUUAACCGAAUGGACUUAAGCUUGAAUUAUAUAACAGGUUCGAUUUAAUCAGUUGAGUUGCUUUAUAUUCAUUGCUUAUUAUCGUAGUUUUCUUUAGGCGCGCUAUUUUAUAUUUAUUUUCUUUUGUUUUAUUAAACUCGGGCGCAUUUAUGUGACCCAAAUCCAAAUCUCUACAACGUUAGAUAAAAUGUGUUGCAGAUUGCAGGUGCAUUUAUGUGACGUAGUUUAAGACGCGUUUCAUGUAACGUUGAAUCUUCCUUAAAAUAAUUAAAAGCGGCUAAUAAGUUAAAAUUUGCACAUAGGUUUCAAAGAUAUAUUAAAAUCAGAUAAUGAGCCAAUAAUAACAGUUGAGCGACCGUGCUAGAACCACGGAACACGGGAAUGCCUAGCACCUUCUCCCGGGUUAACAAAACUCCUUACCCGGAUUUCUGUGUUCGCGGACUGUAAGACAAAGUCAAUCUUUUCCUCGAUUUGGGAUUUGAACCGGUGACUUGGGACACCAUAAAUUAUCCCAAGUGGUGACUCUGAAUCUUUUAAAUAAAUAAUCCUGUUUCGAUUGUCACUUUAAGUUGGAAAAAACUCCCUUAUAUACAUCCCUUACGGGGGGUGUAGGAAACAAGGAGGUGUGACACCUUUUAGAUAUUUUGAGUCUUGAGUAGCUUCGUAUGAUUUAUUAUGACUUGUGUGAAUCGUCAGUUUUGUUUUCCGAUGUUUGGGAAUUAGUUUGGAAGAAUGAAUUUCAUGACUGAAGCUUUAAGUUGGAAGAGUUGAUCAAUUUUGACUUUUUAGUAUUUGACCUUAGAUCUUAGUUUUGAUUAUUCCGUUAGGUACGGAUGAUGAUUCGUGACUAGAAAAGAUUUCGGCAUUAAUUGAUGAAAGUGGGAUAUUUGAAGGUUUGUAAUGUUUCAAAGUUUUACCGAUAGUUGACUUUGGUGAUAUCAGGUUCGGAUUAUGGUUCUGAGAAUCAGAAUAGCUUCGUUAUGUCAUUUGAGACUUGUGUCCAAAAUUUGAGGUUAUUCCGAGUAGAUUUGAUAAGGUUCGGCACGAGUUGUGUAAGUUAAAAGAUUCAAAGUUUAUUAAGUUUGAUUUGACGUGCGAUUUGUGAUUUUGAUGUUGUUAAGCAUGAUUUUAGGCCUCUAGUAGGUCCGUAUUAUGUUUUAGAAAUUUUUGGUAUAGUUGGAUGGGGUCCCAAAGGGAUCGGAUGAGUUUCGGACGGGGUCCCAUGGGGUUCAGAUGAGUUUCAGACCAGAUUUGGAUCGUUUUGGAUAAUUUUGGCUAUGCUAGUUUGCCUGGGAUUCUGGUGUGAUCGCACCUGCGGAUCUAUGGGCAGAGCUGCGGAGCCACAAAAGUGGUAGAGGAAUUGCAAAAGCGGAGGGUGUAGCAGGGAGCAGGAGUCCGCAAAUGCGCAAAUUUCUUCGCAUCUGCGAAGACGGAAAUACGGUGGCUUUGGUGCAGAAGUGGGAAGUAGGCGCAGCUGCGGAGGUUGUUAUUACACUUCCGAUGUCGUAAAAGCGGGAAACAUUUCCGUAGGUGCGAAAGGUCAUCUGUUGAGUGGAGUCCACAGAAGCGGAACAUGUGUCGCAGAAGCGGCUAGCAAUUUCGCAAAUGUGAAAGGGCCUGGGCAGAAGCUAUAAAUCGAGGGCUUGACCAUUUUAUUCACAUUUUGAGAAUUUGAGCUCGGUUUUAGGGGAAAUUAGAGAGGAUUUCACCACAUGGAUUGGGCUAAGCAUUCUUGACUCGCUUUUGAUUAUAUUUCGUGAUUCUAUCUUCAUUUUUGGAAAUUAAAUUAUGACUUUUAAAGAGAAAUUGGGGGGUUUUGCCUAAAACUUCAUAAAGCAAAUUUUUCUACUUUUUAUCGUCGAUUCGGAGUCAGAUUUUAGUGAAACUAGAAUGUUUGGACUCGUAAUUGAAUGGGUUAUCGGAUUUUGUGAGUUUUUCCAGGUUCCGAGGUGCGAGCUCGGGUUUGACUUUCUUUUUUAGUUUGGGCUUUUGAUUAAAGAUUUGACCUUUAUAGAUUGGGUUUGUUUCCUUAGGCAUUAUUUGAUGUAUUUGAGUUGCUUUUGGCCAGUUGUGAGCUGUUUAUAGGUCGAUACGCAUGGGAUGGUGUUUCUAGAGUAUUAUUUGGCAUGCUUGGUAUUGGAUUCAGCUUGUUCGAGGUAAGUAACAAUUCUAAACUUGGUGAUGAGGAUAUGAAUCCCUGAAUAUACAUGUUAUGUAUUUGGUGUUGAGGUGAUGCACAUACCAGGUGAUGGGCGUGUGGGCGUGCACCGUGUGAAUUAUGACUCGGUUGGUUCUAUGGUACUACGUAGUUACCUAAUCUUGUUUUUAUCCAUGAAAUUGUAUGUGCUAGAGUAAUUGAGUUGUGAUCCAUGCUAGAAACCAAGUUUAGGCUAUAUGCUUAUUCUAUUGGGACCCUUUGAGGUCAUUUCUACUAUUGAGUUAUUUGCUUAAAUUGCAUUUACAUACUCGCUCAUAUUCAUUCAUUUGCAUAUCAUAUCUCAGCCUCUACUGUAAUUUGUUGUCGCAUCAUGUUGUUAUCAUUAUUUGGGCUAAUUGGUAUGAGAUUUGUAAGCCCGAGAGACUAUAGAGAUUGAUGAUUGAGUUGGAGUCUGAGGGUCAAAUUGUGAGUGAUAUUGAUGGGAUUGGGAUGCACUCCAUAGCAAGUGUUAUUGAUGAUAAAGUAGGAUCGGGUUGCACGCUGCAGCAGAUAUUAUAGAUUCAUGAUAGGAUCGGGGUUCACAUCGCAGUACAUUUAUUAGUGCUUGGGCAGGAUCCGCCCCUCCGAAGUCUGAUAUACCAGCAGCGAGCGCAGUAUUUAUUAACUUAUGAUGGGAUCGGGCUGCGUGUCAUAGUAGGUACCAUAUAGUGUUGAGCCACUGAGUGUGUUGAGUGAUUUAGAGUGAUCAAUGGGAGUGUGAGACAGUGAGAUGGAGUACUCUGAGAGUGUGAGUACAUGAUUUCAUCACUAUAAUUUAUUACAUUGACAUGUAUACUUGACAUACAGACAUAGAGAUGCAUUUUCUCAUGCUACACGGUUUUGUGACAUUUAGGACUUCAGAUGCACAUUGACAUAUAGGCAUGGAUAUGUACUUACCUCGUAAUAUUCGAAAUUGAAACAACUUAUCUAUUGUUGAAAUUUUUUUGGAAAAAUCAUAGAUUUCUAACUUACUCAUAUUUUGGUAAUUUCGGUGAAAGAUUUGGGUUUUACCAUUAUAAAAAAAAGCAUGCCUAUUUUUCCAUUACUAUGAACUAGUUGAGCAUCAUAUGUUUGAGUUGUUUCUUGUACUAUUUUUAUUAUAUUGUUAGGAGUUGUUGUUGUCUAUUGGUAUUAGACUUUGGCCGUCGUCCAAGGUCGUCACUACUUUUAACCUAAGGUUAGGUUUGUUACUUAUUGAAUACAUAGGGUCAUUUGUACUCAUGCUACACUUCUGCACUUUGUGUGCAGAUUUUUGUGGCUAAUGUCGCUGUGUAUAGCGGGAGCUGGAAUUGAAGAUGUACUUGUGUUACUGUCGUAGAUGUCUCUUAUUCUUGGUAGCUCUAGAAUUAUUAAUCUGUUUACAUAUAUUUCAAACAGAUAAUGUAUUUAUUUCAUAUCAGCUUUGUAAACUCUAAAUCUUAGAAGCUCACGAUUUGUACUACCAGUCCUUGGAAAUUCUUUGUAAAAAAGUUUAGUUGUAUUAUCAAUACUUCCCUUAAUAAGUCUCAUUGAUAUUAGAUAGUUGCUAAUUGGCUUACCUAUCUGGUUGGGUCUAGGUGUCAUCACGACUAGUUGGAUUUUGGUUCGUGACAAGUUGGUAUUAAAGCUCUAAGUUCAUAGGUUCUACGAGUCAUGAGAAAGUGUCUAGUAGAGUCUUGCAG
rnacentral:lncRNA from 1 species